rnacentral:rRNA from 1 species
AACGAACGCUGGCGGCAGGCUUAACACAUGCAAGUCGAGCGCCCCGCAAGGGGAGCGGCAGACGGGUGAGUAACGCGUGGGAAUCUACCCAUCUCUACGGAAUAACGCAUGGAAACGUGUGCUAAUACCGUAUACGUCCUUCGGGAGAAAGAUUUAUCGGAGAUGGAUGAGCCCGCGUUGGAGUAGCUAGUUGGUGGGGUAAAGGCCUACCAAGGCGACGAUCCAUAGCUGGUCUGAGAGGAUGAUCAGCCACACUGGGACUGAGACACGGCCCAGACUCCUACGGGAGGCAGCAGUGGGGAAUAUUGGACAAUGGGCGCAAGCCUGAUCCAGCCAGGCCGCGUGAGUGAUGAAGGCCCUAGGGUUGUAAAGCUCUUUCACCGGUGAAGAUAAUGACGGUAACCGGAGAAGAAGCCCCGGCUAACUUCGUGCCAUCCGCCGCAGUAAGAC